rnacentral:rRNA from 1 species
AUUGAACGCUGGCGGCAGGCCUAACACAUGCAAGUCGAGCGGUAGCACAGAGAGCUUGCUCUCGGGUGACGAGCGGCGGACGGGUGAGUAAUGUCUGGGAAACUGCCUGAUGGAGGGGGAUAACUACUGGAAACGGUAGCUAAUACCGCAUAACGUCGCAAGACCAAAGUGGGGGACCUUCGGGCCUCAUGCCAUCAGAUGUGCCCAGAUGGGAUUAGCUGGUAGGUGGGGUAACGGCUCACCUAGGCGACGAUCCCUAGCUGGUCUGAGAGGAUGACCAGCCACACUGGAACUGAGACACGGUCCAGACUCCUACGGGAGGCAGCAGUGGGGAAUAUUGCACAAUGGGCGCAAGCCUGAUGCAGCCAUGCCGCGUGUGUGAAGAAGGCCUUCGGGUUGUAAAGCACUUUCAGCGGGGAGGAAGGCGGUGAGGUUAAUAACCUCACCGAUUGACGUUACCCGCAGAAGAAGCACCGGCUAACUCCGUGCCAGCAGCCGCGGUAAUACGGAGGGUGCAAGCGUUAAUCGGAAUUACUGGGCGUAAAGCGCACGCAGGCGGUCUGUCAAGUCGGAUGUGAAAUCCCCGGGCUCAACCUGGGAACUGCAUUCGAAACUGGCAGGCUAGAGUCUUGUAGAGGGGGGUAGAAUUCCAGGUGUAGCGGUGAAAUGCGUAGAGAUCUGGAGGAAUACCGGUGGCGAAGGCGGCCCCCUGGACAAAGACUGACGCUCAGGUGCGAAAGCGUGGGGAGCAAACAGGAUUAGAUACCCUGGUAGUCCACGCUGUAAACGAUGUCGAUUUGGAGGUUGUGCCCUUGAGGCGUGGCUUCCGGAGCUAACGCGUUAAAUCGACCGCCUGGGGAGUACGGCCGCAAGGUUAAAACUCAAAUGAAUUGACGGGGGCCCGCACAAGCGGUGGAGCAUGUGGUUUAAUUCGAUGCAACGCGAAGAACCUUACCUGGUCUUGACAUCCACAGAACUUUCCAGAGAUGGAUUGGUGCCUUCGGGAACUGUGAGACAGGUGCUGCAUGGCUGUCGUCAGCUCGUGUUGUGAAAUGUUGGGUUAAGUCCCGCAACGAGCGCAACCCUUAUCCUUUGUUGCCAGCGGUCCGGCCGGGAACUCAAAGGAGACUGCCAGUGAUAAACUGGAGGAAGGUGGGGAUGACGUCAAGUCAUCAUGGCCCUUACGACCAGGGCUACACACGUGCUACAAUGGCAUAUACAAAGAGAAGCGACCUCGCGAGAGCAAGCGGACCUCAUAAAGUAUGUCGUAGUCCGGAUUGGAGUCUGCAACUCGACUCCAUGAAGUCGGAAUCGCUAGUAAUCGUAGAUCAGAAUGCUACGGUGAAUACGUUCCCGGGCCUUGUACACACCGCCCGUCACACCAUGGGAGUGGGUUGCAAAAGAAGUAGGUAGCUUAACCUUCGGGAGGGCGCUUACCACAUUGUGAUUCAUGACUGGGGUG